rnacentral:lncRNA from 1 species
GGAGUUUCUGCAACCAGAUUUCCAGUGAGAUGAAUUAAUCAGCUAAUGCUGCAGAGACACUAAAUGAGAUGACAGGCAGCUCCCACAAAGCAGAUGCUCAAUUAAUUGAACUUCUCUCAUAUUCUACAUCUUAAGACAAUGGAUAUAUUUUCUCAAACUGGUCAGACAGUUAAAGAGUCAUCUUACAGGACAAAUGAGAUAAAGUUAUGCUCCUGGAAGAUGUCCUGGGUUACAUAUGCAAGAAUGAUGAUCUGGGUUUCUGUGUGAUCUUGAGCAAGAUUCUCCAUCUCUGGGUCUCAAGUUCUUCAUCUGACUACUUCUGUCCAAAGCCACAUUCAGAAGUCACGGUGAACAUUCAGGAACAGCCACACAGGGCAAGGCGUGCUGCAUUCAUCUACUGUGCAACAGUGGGGGAUUCAGGGACAGAGCACAGCCACAGCCUGGUAAAGAAACUGGCAUGGAAACAACUUAUGAUAACUGCAGUAAAAGAGGGAACCCAGGGCACAAGCUUAUGGAAGAAGAAUUUUCUUAUUUUAUCCAGCUCCCAUUUAUUGAUGCCUGACUCUGAACCCACAUCUGAGAAAGCAAUGAAGUGGGGGAGAUUCCUGUAGGUGACACAUUUUUCCAAAUUUAGAACAGGUAUUUGACUGUUUUAUUAUUUUCUCAUCUUGUAUCUUUUACUUUAUAGCCCAAGUUCUCUAGAAUUUUAUUGAGAGUACAAAGUAGAUGCAGUUCCUUUUUUAUAUAUA